GACGAACGCUGGCGGCGUGCUUAACACAUGCAAGUCGAACGGAAAGGCCCUGCUUUUGUGGGUUGCUCGAUUGGCGAACGGGUGAGUAACACGUGAGUAACCUUCCCUUUACUUUGGGAUAACUUCAGGAAACUGGGGCUAAUACCGGAUAUGAGCUCCUGCUUCCUGGUGUGGGUUGGAAAGUUUCGGCGGUUGGGGCUGGACUCGCUGCUUAUCAGCUUGUUUGUGGGGUAGUGGCUUACCAAGGCUUUGACGGGUAGGCGGCAUGAGAGGGGGAACGGGGACAUGGCGCCUGCGAUAGGGCCCAGACUCGUAUGUGCGGCAGUAGUCGAGAACAUUGCACAACGGGGGGGAGCCUGAUGCAGAGAUGCCGCGUGCGGGAUGCUGGCUUUCGGGUUGUAAACAGAUUUCGACUGUGCCGAAGAGUGCGUGACGGUAACGGGUCAAGAAGCACCGGCUAACUACGUG
rnacentral:rRNA from 1 species